rnacentral:rRNA from 1 species
ACGAACGCUGGCGGCGUGCUUAACACAUGCAAGUCGAACGCGCCUGUCCUCUGGGUUUCUGGGGGGUGGGUGAGUGGCGAACGGGUGAGUAACACGUGAGUAACCUGCCCCCUUCUUCGGGAUAACGGUCUGAAAGGGCUGCUAAUACCGGGUAUUCACUGGUCUCCGCAUGGGGUCUGGUGGAAAGGUUUUUUUCUGGUGGGGGAUGGGCUCGCGGCCUAUCAGCUUGUUGGUGGGGUGAUGGCCCACCAAGGCUUUGACGGGUAGCCGGCCUGAGAGGGUGACCGGUCACAUUGGGACUGAGAUACGGCCCAGACUCCUACGGGAGGCAGCAGUGGGGAAGAUUGCACAAUGGGCGCAAGCCUGAUGCAGCGACGCCGCGUGAGGGAUGGAGGCCUUCGGGUUGUGAACCUCUUUCGCCCGUGGUCAAGCCGCGACGUGGGUCGUGGUGAGGGUAGUGGGUAAAGAAGCGCCGGCUAACUACGUG